GUCCUGCACACUUCCUGACCUGCAGGGCCCUGUUCUCCCAGCUCCAGGACAAGGACAGAGCAGACGGUAAGAGGCUGGCCAUGGCUCCCAAUCUCACCUUCCUCCUGGGCCUUGGGCUCUGCCUGGACCAGGUGAUCCUCACAUAGGUGGGGCCCCUGCUCAGACCCUCCAUCUCUGCUGAGCCAGACUCUGUGAUCUCCCAGGGGUGGCCUAUGACCAUCGUGUGCCGGGGCCCUGCUGCGGCUGAGGUAUUCCUCCUGGAGAAGGAUAGAAAAUCCUACAGGGAUCAGCGAAUCGUGUCUCUAGUUGGUCCACGUGAGACAGAGGCCAGAU